rnacentral:rRNA from 1 species
GACGAACGCUGGCGGCGUGCCUAACACAUGCAAGUCGAACGAGAUCUUCGGGUCUAGUGGCGCACGGGUGCGUAACGCGUGGGAAUCUGCCCUUUGGUUCGGAAUAACAGUUGGAAACGACUGCUAAUACCGGAUGAUGACGAGAGUCCAAAGAUUUAUCGCCAGAGGAUGAGCCCGCGUAGGAUUAGCUAGUUGGUGUGGGAAAGGCGCACCAAGGCGACGAUCCUUAGCUGGUCUGAGAGGAUGAUCAGCCACACUGGGACUGAGACACGGCCCAGACUCCUACGGGAGGCAGCAGUGGGGAAUAUUGGACAAUGGGCGAAAGCCUGAUCCAGCAAUGCCGCGUGAGUGAUGAAGGCCUUAGGGUUGUAAAGCUCUUUUACCCGGGAUGAUAAUGACAGUACCGGGAGAAUAAGCGCCGGCUAACUCCGUGCCAGCCGCCGCCGUAA